rnacentral:rRNA from 1 species
UACGGAGGGUGCAAGCGUUGUCCGGAUUUAUUGGGUUUAAAGGGUGCGUAGGCGGCCUUAUAAGUCAGUGGUGAAAGCCCAUCGCUCAACGAUGGAACUGCCAUUGAUACUGUAAGGCUUGAGUACAGACGAGGUAGGCGGAAUUGAUGGUGUAGCGGUGAAAUGCAUAGAUACCAUCAAGAACACCGAUUGCGUAGGCAGCUUACUAGGCUGUAACUGACGCUGAGGCACGAAAGUGUGGGGAUCAAACAGG